AGAAGAGGGUAUUGGAUCUCAUUACAGAUGGCUGUGAGCUACCAUGUGCUUGCUGGGAAAUGAACUCAGGAGCUCUGGAAGAACCUCUGGUUCUUAACCACUGAGGCAUCUCUCCAGCCCGCUAUGUGACUUAUUUAAAGUGACUUAGUAUGAGAAGAGCUACAGGGCAAAAACCAGGCAAAGAGAUACCAUCAGUGUCCAUUGAAGAUAUACCCAAGAUAGGGUGGAGGCAUUCGAUGGGGGCACUGAGACGAGAGAUGUCUAAACAUGUUGCCUUGGAUGAGCUGCAUGCAGCCAUAGAGUAUGAGGCUGGAUGGACGUCCCGAAGACAAGCAUACACUCCAGCAGCAGGAAAGAUGAGCUGAAGUUCAGAAGACACGCGUGUCUCACUCAGUCGCUUGGAGGAAGCCUGGGAACCGAACCUGAUCUGUCUGUUAUGAGCUGUAGCCCUGAAGAAGACAAGAAGAGAUGACUGAGCAAGAAAGUCACAGCAGCUUGCGUUGGAAACACCAGCUUCAGCAAUGCUGUGGAAGACAGGCCUGAGGUCUCGCCAUCUCCUCGGUGGGCUGGGGCUUUAAGAAGAGCUGACCUGAUGGCGCCCAAGGGCUGUGAGGAGUGGGAAUAAGGCAGAGAGCGAAAACAAAUGGGUUCAGAAGGCCAAGCCAGUGGGACCUGAAGCUAAACAAAUGAGCCUGCAAAGGAACCUCCAUGGCAGAGUGAAAAUUACAGCAGUGGUGUCAGCUGUGGCUUGAAAAGCUGCCUAAAGAAUCAGGUAUCCUUGUCACCACCACCUCCCCCCAAAAGGAAAAGAAAAAGGAAAAAAGAAAGUCACACCCAGAAAGCAGAAAUAAAUGGGUUAGCCAUAAAGACCAGAGUCUUUGGUGAGGCCCAGCUGACUCGUGAAA